rnacentral:rRNA from 1 species
UACGAAGGGUGCAAGCGUUACUCGGAAUUACUGGGCGUAAAGCGUGCGUAGGUGGUGGUUUAAGUCCGUUGUGAAAGCCCUGGGCUCAACCUGGGAAUUGCAGUGGAUACUGGGUCACUAGAGUGUGGUAGAGGGUAGCGGAAUUCCCGGUGUAGCAGUGAAAUGCGUAGAGAUCGGGAGGAACAUCUGUGGCGAAGGCGGCUACCUGGACCAACACUGACACUGAGGCACGAAAGCAUGGGGAGCAAACAGG